CCGAUGCAUUCAACUUUGAACUUCAAAGUUGAAUGCAUUGUUAUUUGAUCACUUGAUAUAACUCGCAAUCAUCGAUCGAAGUCAUGGCUGUCGAGAAUAUCAAACACGAUCUGUGUACUCUGCUUCGAGAAGAGAAGUCAUUUGAUAUUAAUGGAGUGCGUCGAACCUAUGAAACGAGAGCUGCUACUUUUAUUUCAAAAUCCUCUCCUUGGAAUCCCUUUCAAAGGGUAAAAAUGGGAGAGAUAUGUCAAGUGAAAUGUUAAUACCUAAGCACUUGACAAUUCAUUGGCAAAGUGGAGAACUAAGAGCUUUAAAAGCUAUCAGUGUCAAAGCUGCGAAAUGAUUCCUGCCAGUCACAGACAUACUGCCAAAGACCAGCAAAUUCAUUGAAAUCAAUCACACCAUUGCCAUCUGUAUCAAACAUCCCUGAAAAUGGAGAACUUUAUAGAUAUCUUGUCUGGUUGGUAGUAAUCGCACACAAAUGUUUUAGAACUUUAUUGUAGUAGGUAAUGUCUAGAACAAUUCAUUCUCUUACAGUUCUUUUCAUGACCAAGGUUUGAGAGAACCUGUGUGAAACACUACUUGACUCUUUUGAACUUAAAUUUGUGGCUACACAUACAAUGACACAGGUAUACAAAUACAACAAUUUAAGCAUGUAAACAAGAGAAAUAGAACAA